GUGGAACUUCCCUUGGACCUGUAAGCUGAAAGAAAACCCUUCCUCCCCUAAAUUGUGUCUGGUUUGGAUGUUCAUCUCAGCAAUAUGGAACUCUCUACAAGAAAUCCUUUGACAAAGAUUAACCCCCUGGCCAGAACUGCUCAUGUGAUAUUCCCAAUGUGUUAAGUGCUUUGGUAGAAAUAUGAAGGAACUGCAGUCAAGGAGAGAAAUUAUUGAUUCUACAAGCGAAGAUUUCCUAGGUGAAUUAGAGUUUGAGAACAUCUGAGACAUGCCUAGGUUUAUACACAGUCAAAGCAAAGAAGAAGAGAAAUGACACUUCAUGUUUUAAGUUUGUCUUUAUUCAUUGGUGUACAAAGAGCCUUUCUUUGAGAGUAUAUUGUAAGCAAAAGGCCCAGGCAGUUAUAACUACAGCUUUUAUUAGUUAAUAGAAAGCAAUAUGGUUGAAUAGAUGAACAUUUAAAAGAUUAAAAGCUUAAAAAUGAGGCAUAGCAUUGUCCUAGUGAAACGCAUUACUGUUAUCUGUCUGCUAAAAGGUUGUCAGACUGGUUUCUAUAUCAGGGAAGGAAGGAAAAGGAGAGGAGACCUUUCUGUAUCAUAUCUGCUUGUUCAUGUAUCUCCUUGU